rnacentral:rRNA from 1 species
UACGUAGGUGGCAAGCGUUAUCCGGAUUUAUUGGGCGUAAAGAGAACGCAGGCGGUCUUUUAAGUCUGAUGUGAAAGCCUUCGGCUUAACCGGAGUAGUGCAUUGGAAACUGGGAGACUUGAGUGCAGAAGAGGAGAGUGGAACUCCAUGUGUAGCGGUGAAAUGCGUAGAUAUAUGGAAGAACACCAGUGGCGAAAGCGGCUCUCUGGUCUGUAACUGACGCUGAGGCACGAAAGCGUGGGGAUCGAACAGG